GGAGUCGGCUGGACAGUCGCUGCUCGCCCGCCUUGGCGCGCGAGGGGAGGAAAGUCCGGGCUCCACAGGGCAGGGUGCCAGGUAACGCCUGGGGGGCGCGAGCCCACGGCAAGUGCCACAGAAAAGAUACCGCCUCAAUCCGCCUCGGUGGAUCGGUAAGGGUGAAAUGGUGCGGUAAGAGCGCACCGCGCCGACGGCAACGCCGGUGGCAGGGUAAACCCCACCCGGAGCAAGACCAAAUAGGGGGGCGAGCGGCUUCGUACCGCAACGCGCGGCCCGCGCGUGUCCCCGGGUAGGUCGCUGGAGGCGUGCGGUGACGCACGCCCUAGAUGAAUGGCUGUCCCCGACAGAACCCGGCUUAUAGGCCGACUCCCUCC
rnacentral:RNase_P_RNA from 1 species